rnacentral:piRNA from 1 species
UGAAAUCUAUUUUCUCAUGUCUGAUGAUCC